rnacentral:rRNA from 1 species
CCUACGGGAGGCAGCAGUGAGGGAUAUUGGUCAAUGGGGGAAACCCUGAACCAGCAACGCCGCGUGAGGGAAGACGGUUUUCGGAUUGUAAACCUCUGUCCUCUGUGAAGAUAAUGACGGUAGCAGAGGAGGAAGCUCCGGCUAACUACGUGCCAGCAGCCGCGGUAAUACGUAGGGAGCGAGCGUUGUCCGGAUUUACUGGGUGUAAAGGGUGCGUAGGCGGCCCUGCAAGUCAGAAGUGAAAUCCAUGGGCUUAACCCGUGAACUGCUUUUGAAACUGCAGGACUUGAGUGGAGUAGAGGUAGGCGGAAUGCCCGGUGUAGCGGUGAAAUGCGUAGAGAUCGGGAGGAACACCAGUGGCGAAGGCGGCCUGCCGGGGUGCGACUGACGCUGAGGCUCGAAGGUGCGGGUAUCAAACAGGAUUAGAUACCCCAGUAGUC